rnacentral:rRNA from 1 species
GACGUAGGGCGCGAGCGUUGUCCGGAUUUAUUGGGCGUAAAGAGCUCGUAGGCGGUCUGUCGUGUCUGCUGUGAAAACUCAGGGCUUAACCCUGAGCUUGCAGUGGGUACGGGCAGACUAGAGUGCGGUAGGGGAGACUGGAAUUCCUGGUGUAGCGGUGAAAUGCGCAGAUAUCAGGAGGAACACCGGUGGCGAAGGCGGGUCUCUGGGCCGUAACUGACGCUGAGGAGCGAAAGCAUGGGGAGCGAACAGG